rfam:Myotis davidii contig164824, whole genome shotgun sequence.
GGUGGUUCUUGGGUGUUACACCCUAGAAUUGGCUCCUUCCUCUCUGGUUCAGGGUACAUCACCCGAGAACCACC